UUUGGUGUCAUUGUUACUCUCUUGUGUUAUUAUUAUUUGUUGUGGAUAUUAUUCAUGUGCGGGAUUAUUUAUUUGAUCCCAACAAGUAGUUUGUUUGCAUCAGUGUAUGGAUUUUGAUGUCUCAUAGGCAAUAGAGAGGAGGAAGAAGUGGUAGUGAAGCAGAAGAACAACGGUGUGCUUAAGAUUAAGCUUAAGCGGAUCAUUCUGCAGCAGAUAGGGAUCCUAAAUCUGUAGAAUCUGUAAAGGAUAAGAAUGGACUUGGUGAGAUUUUGCUUCGAAACCCACCUGCCGCGAUCUGUUCAAGUUAGUUUCCUUUUGAGAUUAAGCUUUCUAUUUGACUGAAAGCUAUGUUCAUAAUCUGAAGUAUUUGAGAAACUGAGGUUAGCCUACAUGGAAGAAUGACCAUGGUGAAGAAUUACUUUUUAUAAGCAGCAAGUAAAUACCAAGAUGAAGUACGUGUUGUCAUUUGCAACUCAAGAUUUUAUCCAAUCUUUUGAUUACUGGAACCACCAACAUCAACUUGAACAAUCUCACUGUUUUGGUCUUCCAAGCAAGCUAAAGAAUAUACCUCUACAACUUUGUUCCGCAAAUACAUCUACACGUAUGAUCUACUUUAUGUUAAUAUUAAGCACAUUAUGCCAAUAUUUAGCUUUGUUAUACUAAUUCCUUUUAUUUUUUCAUAGUCUAACUAAGCAAUAAAGCUAUCAAGAAUUUCGCCCACAUCUGUCAUAAGACCGUGAUUCAUAGUUAAAAUAGGUGAAAAUUAAGACUAACCCAGGAAGCGGGCAAAACUAAAUGCGCAAAUAGAGAGCGUAAAAAUAUAUGACCAAGUAGCUUAAAAAUGAAGUGACACCAUGAGAUAUCGCUUGUUCGAGUCCUAGUGAAUAUAGAACCAUAUUUUGAUACCUAUACUAGAAAACCUCGGCUGCUGGAGCUUUAGACUCAAAUAGCUACAAGUCCUAAGGAGACAUGUGGUGAAGGGGUACCCUCAAAUGGAGAAAUUGCAGUUUUAUACCUUAUAGAAAAGGGAAUUUGCAACCCGAAUCCUUUUUAUAUUGAACUUCAUAAUUAAUUAAGCCUAUCAUUAUAUAUUGAGUCCCUUAUCUUGUUAACAUAAGGUUGCGAUGGCCAUAUUCUCACAAUGUUUAUCUAGAUUGUAAAUAGAUCCUCCAUUCGUCAAUAGCAACUAAUUAGCAAAGUCAUGUAAAUUGACCACAAAUACUUUUUUCUUGAAAUCUGGAAGAGCUAGUACGUACUGUACAUAAACUAAGAUAAACCUUUCAAAAGAUGAUUUACUAGUGAAGCUCAUCCAAUAAAUCAUUUAAUAUGGGAAUAGAAUUCUUAUCUUUCACUAUAAUCUUAUUCAACAUUAUUCUAUUGUCAACAGAAAACUUUCAUGAGCCAUCUUUACUUUUUUUAUGAAUAACUAAUAGCAAUGCUGAGAGAGGAAAUGGUGAGUGACUAUAAUGUAUUAUCGCAAUACAAAGCAUCACUUUGAUCCAUUUUUUCAUUUCUUAUUGAAUGUUUAAUUUGAUUAUCAAAAAUCAGUACAAUGUAUAACUCUAAAUUUAUUCUUAAGUUUAAAACAAAAUAAAAGUUUCUUAAUAUUAUGAAGGCUAAUUUUGUCAUUUUAGUAGUAUUUUUAAUCCAUGUACUACUGAUAUUUGAAUUUUUAUUUCAUAUUUUAUUUACAUAAGAUAAUAUGAUAAUUCUCGCGUAACUUAUGCAUAGUUGCAUAUAUUAUUAAUGAGCCAAACAAAGUAAUAACCAAAUUAUUGAAAUUAUUGCUAGAUUUUAGAUUGAGCAUUAAUCUUUGGUUCUUGCAAGCUGCUCUGAAAAGCAGUAACAAAAAGGUAAAAAAAAAAUUCUUAUUUUCUCCUGCGUUAUCUUUGUUUGUUCUUUUCUUUUUUUCCCUUUUUUUUUUGUAGGUCAAGAAAAGAAAGAUAUGUUCUUGUUCAACAAGAUGAUCCACGCAUGAAGAAGGCGGUCCUAGGGAUGGGUGCUCAUCCCUGUCCAAAUAUCGAAGAGAUUACUCUCAGUGGCCGACUAUUGGAGAGAUUACUCUCAAAAUGACUCGACUAUCAGAGAGAUUACUCUCAAUGUGGCCCGACUAUCGGAGAGAUUACUCUCAAAACGACCCAACUAUUGAAGAGAUUACUCUCAAAAUGACCCGACUAUCGGAGAGAUUACUCUCAAGGCAGCCCGACUAUCGGAUAGAUUACUCUCAGUGUGGCCCGACUAUCAGUGAGAUUACUCUCAAGGUGGCCCGACUAUCGGAGAGAUUACUCUCAAUGUGGCCCGACAUUUAUCUUAGUCAUAUAAUUUUCAGCUUUACGCGCUUGUAACGAAAGAUUCAUAUCGUGGGAGAGUCCAAAUAAUGAACCGUUUGAUUUUUCAAAAAUUAAACUUCAA